UCCUAGCCCUGAUGGAAGCGGCAUCCUUUUGUGUCCGCCGCGGCGGACAUAAAAGAUAUAGCGUACAGCAGGUUUUAGC
rnacentral:sRNA from 1 species